UUAAGCGACUAAGCGUACACGGUGGAUGCCCUGGCAGUCAGAGGCGAUGAAGGACGUGCUAAUCUGCGAUAAGCGUCGGUAAGGUGAUAUGAACCGUUAUAACCGGCGAUUUCCGAAUGGGGAAACCCAGUGUGAUUUGUCACACUAUCAUUAACUGAAUCCAUAGGUUAAUGAGGCGAACCGGGGGAACUGAAACAUCUAAGUACCCCGAGGAAAAGAAAUCAACCGAGAUUCCCCCAGUAGCGGCGAGCGAACGGGGAGGAGCCCAGAGCCUGAAUCAGUGUGUGCGUUAGUGGAAGCGUCUGGAAAGGCGCGCGAUACAGGGUGACAGCCCCGUACACAAAAAUGCACAUGCUGUGAGCUCGAUGAGUAGGGCGGGACACGUGGUAUCCUGUCUGAAUAUGGGGGGACCAUCCUCCAAGGCUAAAUACUCCUGACUGACCGAUAGUGAACCAGUACCGUGAGGGAAAGGCGAAAAGAACCCGGCGAGGGGAGUGAAAAAGAACCUGAAACCGUGUACGUACAAGCAGUGGGAGCCUCUUUUAUGGGGUGACUGCGUACCUUUUGUAUAAUGGGUCAGCGACUUAUAUUCUGUAGCAAGGUUAACCGAAUAGGGGAGCCGAAGGGAAACCGAGUCUUAACUGGGCGUUAAGUUGCAGGGUAUAGACCCGAAACCCGGUGAUCUAGCCAUGGGCAGGUUGAAGGUUGGGUAACACUAACUGGAGGACCGAACCGACUAAUGUUGAAAAAUUAGCGGAUGACUUGUGGCUGGGGGUGAAAGGCCAAUCAAACCGGGAGAUAGCUGGUUCUCCCCGAAAGCUAUUUAGGUAGCGCCUCGUGAAUUCAUCUCCGGGGGUAGA
rnacentral:rRNA from 1 species